rnacentral:rRNA from 1 species
ACGCUCGACACCUACGGGAGGCAGCAGUGGGGAAUAUUGCACAAUGGGGGAAACCCUGAUGCAGCGACGCCGCGUGAAGGAAGAAGUAUCUCGGUAUGUAAACUUCUAUCAGCAGGGAAGAAAGUGACGGUACCUGACUAAGAAGCCCCGGCUAACUACGUUCCAGCAGCCGCGGUAAUCUGAGCGGGCUGGCAAGGC